CCACCAUCAUACAUUAUAGAUGAGUAACAUCACGAAAGAAGAUUAAACUUAAUAGCAGAGGAAUGAAAAAGGGUACAAUAUCUUAAAACUCUCGAGGAAAAACAUCAAAAAACUGACUCCCUUUUAACAUUCAUUUGAAUUAAUUUCCCAAUAAUGAACUGUCAGCUUCUUCAAAAUCAUUGCACUACUUAGUAUUUACCAUACUAACAGAAACAUAUAAUAUCAUUUCUGUAAAACGUAUCGCCAAUACAACCUACCACAUAUUGAUAAUACAUUCACAAAUGUUAAUUCUGUAAAAAUAAUCACCAAAAAUGUAGUUCUCAGCUGAAAUACUUCACCAUCUGAAUUUCUUUUUGCUUGAAUCCACACUUCUCAUAAAAUGCUUUGUUCUCAAUGCUGCAAUCAAGAAUCACCUUGUAGCACCCCAUUGAAUGUGCAUGAUCUGUUAGGAACCCAAUAAUUUUCUUCCCCAAUUGUCGCUCCCGAGCAGUAGAAUCAACCACAACAUCUUCAAUAUGCCCAACUUUGCCACAAUUUCUUAUGAAUUUCCUUUCAAUAAACACACUCCCAGUUGCAAUAAUCUUCCCAGAUUGAUCAUCUUCAAUUACACAAACAAUAUGGUCAUUGCCAUAAGAGUUGAUCUCUUGAAAUCGCUCUUCAAAUUCCUUUUCUGAUAUAGAAUCACAUACAGUUAGUUGUUGCAAUAACUCUAUAAAACCUUUGCUUUUGUCUGAUUUCUCCAACUUCCGAACUUGAAGCUUCAGCUCUCCAAUCAAAGAGUUACUACUGUCCAUCUUUUUCCAAUAUAGCUUCAAUUUUCAUGUUCUUGCAAAGUAACACAUUUUUCCGUCUUCCACAAAAUGGGUAUGUGGUUGGUAACCGUAUUGUCGCUUUUAGCUGCUUUUAGUGUCGCCUAAGAUGAAAAAGAGCGCCUAGCUCAACUCACAACGAUCCGCCCUACACGGUCCAGAUUUUGCAGAUUGAAGCUCAAGUAUCCAUGGAUUCAAACCUCUUUGAUUCACCACAUGCUCUUGUUUUCCAUAUAACUUUCCUUGAUGCUCGACGACACCAAUUAUAAGGGUUACAAGCUUCAAUCGAAAAUUGGAAGGGUAUAUCGGUGGCUUCCGAUCCCCACUUUGAAAGAGGGCAAUAAGCAAGCAACAACUUGCCA
rnacentral:misc_RNA from 1 species